UACAGAGGUCUCAAGCGUUGUUCGGAUUCAUUGGGCGUAAAGGGUGCGUAGGUGGCGUCGUAAGUCGGGUGUGAAAUUUCGGAGCUUAACUCCGAAACUGCAUUCGAUACUGCGGUGCUUGAGGACUGGAGAGGAGACUGGAAUUUACGGUGUAGCGGUGAAAUGCGCAGAUAUCAGGAAGAACACCAAUGGCGAAGGCGGCUCGCUGGGCCAUUCCUGACGCUGAGACGCGAAAGCUAGGGGAGCGAACAGG
rnacentral:rRNA from 1 species